rnacentral:rRNA from 1 species
GAUGAACGCUGGCGGCGUGCCUAAUACAUGCAAGUCGAGCGAACAGACGAGGAGCUUGCUCCUCUGACGUUAGCGGCGGACGGGUGAGUAACACGUGGAUAACCUACCUAUAAGACUGGGAUAACUUCGGGAAACCGGAGCUAAUACCGGAUAAUAUAUUGAACCGCAUGGUUCAAUAGUGAAAGACGGUUUUGCUGUCACUUAUAGAUGGAUCCGCGCCGCAUUAGCUAGUUGGUAGGUAACGGCUUACCAAGGCAACGAUGCGUAGCCGACCUGAGAGGGUGAUCGGCCACACUGGAACUGAGACACGGUCCAGACUCCUACGGGAGGCAGCAGUAGGGAAUCUUCCACAAUGGGCGCAAGCCUGACGGAGCAACGCCGCGUGAGUGAUGAAGGUCUUCGGAUCGUAAAACUCUGUUAUUAGGGAAGAACAAAUGUGUAAGUAACUAUGCACGUCUUGACGGUACCUAAUCAGAAAGCCACGGCUAACUACGUG